rnacentral:rRNA from 1 species
CAGCCGCCGCGGGAACACGUAGGGUGCAAGCGUUAAUCGGAAUUACUGGGCGUAAAGCGUGCGCAGGCGGUUUUGUAAGACAGAGGUGAAAUCCCCGGGCUCAACCUGGGAACUGCCUUUGUGACUGCAAGGCUAGAGUACGGCAGAGGGGGAUGGAAUUCCGCGUGUAGCAGUGAAAUGCGUAGAUAUGCGGAGGAACACCGAUGGCGAAGGCAAUCCCCUGGGCCUGUACUGACGCUCAUGCACGAAAGCGUGGGGAGCAAACAGGAUUAGAUACCCCGGUAGUCCCUGUCUCUUAUAC